AUCUGAAAUUUGAUGACAGAGUAUUAUGAUGGAGGGUAGUAACCUUAUGUUUCUCUUCUUCCGUAAAGUUAGAAUAAAACUUUAGUUUUCGGUUGAAAUAGUUCCAGGUUUUCUAUCUCCAAAGAAGC